GCAAAGGUUUUUUCCUACCCCCCUUCCGCC
rnacentral:piRNA from 1 species